UGAUCCUGGCUCAGAUUGAACGCUGGCGGCAGGCCUAACACAUGCAAGUCGAGCGGUAACAGAUCUAGCUUGCUAGAUGCUGACGAGCGGCGGACGGGUGAGUAAUGCAUAGGAAUCUGCCCGAUAGUGGGGGAUAACCUGGGGAAACCCAGGCUAAUACCCCAUACGUCCUACGGGAGAAAGGGGGCUUCGGCUCCCGCUAUUGGAUGAGCCUAUGUCGGAUUAGCUAGUUGGUAAGGUAAUGGCUUACCAAGGCAACGAUCCGUAGCUGGUCUGAGAGGAUGAUCAGCCACAUCGGGACUGAGACACGGCCAGAACUCCUACGGGAGGCAGCAGUGGGGAAUAUUGGACAAUGGGGCAACCCUGAUCCAGCCAUGCCGCGUGUGUGAAGAAGGCCCUCGGGUUGUAAAGCACUUUCAGCGAGGAAGAACGCCUGUCGGUUAAUACCCGGUAGGAUAGACAUCACUCGCAGAAGAAGCACCGGCUAACUCCGUGCCAGCAGCCGCGGUAAUACGGAGGGUGCAAGCGUUAAUCGGAAUUACUGGGCGUAAAGCGCGCGUAGGUCGCUUGAUAAGCCGGUUGUGAAUGCCCCGGGCUCAACCUGGGAACGGCAUCCGGAACUGUCAGGCUAGAGUGCAGGAGAGGAAGGUAGAAUUCCCGGUGUAGCGGUGAAAUGCGUAGAGAUCGGGAGGAAUACCAGUGGCGAAGGCGGCCUUCUGGACUGACACUGACACUGAGGUGCGAAAGCGUGGGUAGCAAACAGGAUUAGAUACCCUGGUAGUCCACGCCGUAAACGAUGUCGACCAGCCGUUGGGUGCCUAGAGCACUUUGGCGAAGUUAACGCGAUAAGUCGACCGCCUGGGGAGUACGGCCGCAAGGUU
rnacentral:rRNA from 1 species